UGUCGUCAGCUCGUGUUGUGAAAUGUUGGGUUAAGUCCCGCAACGAGCGCAACCCUUAUCCUUUGUUGCCAGCGGUCCGGCCGGGAACUCAAAGGAGACUGCCAGUGAUAAACUGGAGGAAGGUGGGGAUGACGUCAAGUCAUCAUGGCCCUUACGACCAGGGCUACACACGUGCUACAAUGGCGCAUACAAAGAGAAGCGACCUCGCGAGAGCAAGCGGACCUCAUAAAGUGCGUCGUAGUCCGGAUUGGAGUCUGCAACUCGACUCCAUGAAGUCGGAAUCGCUAGUAAUCGUGGAUCAGAAUGCCACGGUGAAUACGUUCCCGGGCCUUGUACACACCGCCCGUCACACCAUGGGAGUGAGUUGCAAAAGAAGUAGGUAGCUUAACCUUCGGGAGGGCGCUUACCACUUUGUGAUUCAUGACUGGGGUGAAGUCGUAACAAGGUAACCGUAGGGGAACCUGCGGUUGGA
rnacentral:rRNA from 2 species